rnacentral:rRNA from 1 species
UACGAAGGGGGCUAGCGUUGUUCGGAAUUACUGGGCGUAAAGGGCGCGUAGGCGGCCUUCUAAGUCGAACGUGAAAUCCCCGGGCUCAACCCGGGAACUGCGUCCGAUACUGGAAGGCUAGAAUCCGGGAGAGGGAUGCGGAAUUCCAGGUGUAGCGGUGAAAUGCGUAGAUAUCGGGAGGAACACCAGUGGCGAAGGCGGCUUCCUGGCCUGUUCUUGACGCUGAGGCGCGAAAGCUAGGGGAGCAAACGGG